rnacentral:rRNA from 1 species
UACGAAGGGUGCAAACGUUGCUCGGAAUUAUUGGGCGUAAAGCGCACGUAGGCGGCUUAGCAAGUCGGAUGUGAAAGCCCUCGGCUCAACCAAGGAAGUGCAUCCGAAACUGCUGAGCUUGAGUACUUAAGAGGAUCGCGGAAUUCCCAGUGUAGUGGUGAAAUACGUAGAGAUUGGGAAGAACACCAGUGGCGAAGGCGGCUAUCUGGACGGUUUCUGACGCUAAGACGCGAAAGCGUGGGGAGCAAACAGG